UACUCGAGUGGCGAACGGGUGAGUAACACGUGGGUGAUCUGCCCUGCACUUCGGGAUAAGCCUGGGAAACUGGGUCUAAUACCGGAUGGGAGCCAUUUUUAGUGUGAUGGUUGGAAAGUUUUUCGGUGUAGGAUGAGCUCGCGGCCUAUCAGCUUGUUGGUGGGGUAAUGGCCUACCAAGGCGGCGACGGGUAGCCGGCCUGAGAGGGUGGACGGCCACAUUGGGACUGAGAUACGGCCCAG
rnacentral:rRNA from 1 species